AUUGAACGCUGGCGGCAGGCCUAACACAUGCAAGUCGAGCGAGCGGCGGACGGGUGCGUACUGUCUGGGAAACUGCCUGAUGGCGGCGGAUAACUACUGGAAACGGUAGCUAAUACCGUAUACCAUCCGCUGUGCCCUGGUGGGUUUAGCUAGUCGGUGGGGUAAUGGCUUACCUAGGCGACGAUCCCUAGCUGGUCUGAGAGGAGGACCAGCCAAACUGGAACGUAGACACGGUCAAGACUCCUACGGGAGGCAGCAGUGGGGAAUAUUGCACAAUGGGCGCAAGCCUGAUGCAGCCAUGCCGCGUGUGUGAAGAAGGCCUUCGGGUUGUAAAGCACUGUCAGCGGGGAGGCGUUACCCAAAGAGAAAGCACCGGCUAACUCCGUGCCAGCAGCCGCGGUAAUAC
rnacentral:rRNA from 1 species